rnacentral:rRNA from 1 species
AAUCGAACCCGGAGAUAGCUGGUUCUCCUCGAAAUAGCUUUAGGGCUAGCCUCAUGGAUCAUUGAUGGGGGUAGAGCACUGAAUGUGCGCGGGGGCCACAAAGCCUACCAAACGCUAUCAAACUUCGAAUACCAUACAAUGCAGACCAUGGGAGUCAGUCCGCGAGAGAUAAGUUCCGCGGGCAAAAGGGGAACACCCCAGAUCAACCGCUAAGGUCCCCAAGUUCACGUUAAGUGGAGAAGGAUGUGGAAUUGCACAGACAACCAGGAUGUUGGCUCAGAAGCAGCCACACAUUUAAAGAGUGCGUAAUAGCUCACUGGUCGAGUGAUUGUGCGCCGAAGAUGUCCGGGGCUAAACGUGACACCGAAGCGAUGGGUGCAUCUGAAGAAGAUGCGCGGUAGAGGAGCAAUGUGCAGAGGCAGAAGCCGUAUCGAGAGGCACGGUGGACACUGCACAAGAGAGAAUGCCGGUAUGAGUAGCGAGAGGCAUGCGAGAAACAUGCCCGUCGAAAGCCCAAGGUUUCCUGGGGAAGGUUCAUCCGCCCAGGGUAAGUCGGGGCCUAAGCCGAGGACGGAAGUCGUAGGCGAUGGACAGCAGGUGUAGAUUCCUGCACUACCGAUGGAAUGAAGCAGUGACACAGAAGGAUAACUCGAGCAGGGUGAUGGUCAACCCUGUGCAAGCAUCAAGGUUGGGUUGUAGUGAAGUACGCAAUCCUAUAAGCUGAGGUGUGAUGCGGACCGAAAUUUCAGUAGGGAAGCGAGUGAGUUCACGCUGGCGAGAAAAGCUGCUAGUACAUCCAAAGGUACCCGUACCGGAAACCGACGCAGGUGGGCGAGGAGAGAAUCCUGAGACGAACGGGAGAACCCUUGUUAAGGAACUCGGCAAAAUGACCCCGUAACUUCGGGAUAAGGGGUGCCUGCGAGAGCAGGCCGCAGAGAAUAGUCACAAGCGACUGUUUAGCAAAAACACAGGUAUCUGCGAAAGCGAGAGCUGACGUAUAGGUGCUGACACCUGCCCGGUGCUGGAAGGUUAAGGGAACAUGUUAGAGCAAUCGAAGCAUCGAACCGAAGCCCCAGUAAACGGCGGCCGUAACUAUAACGGUCCUAAGGUAGCGAAAUUCCUUGUCGGGUAAGUUCCGACCCGCACGAAUGGUGUAACGACUUGUGAGCUGUCUCAACAGGGGGCCCGGUGAAAUUGAAGUAUGGGUGAAGAUGCCCAUUACCCGCGACUGGACGGAAAGACCCCGUAGAGCUUUACUGCAGCCUGAUAUUGAGUUUCGGUAACUGAUGCACAGGAUAGGUGGGAGUCUGAGAGACAUGGGUUUCGGCUCAUGUGGAGACGGUGUUGGGAUACCACUCUUCGGUUACUGAAAUUCUAACAUAGCUCUGUGAAACCAGAGGAUGGACAGUGUCAGGUGGACAGUUUGACUGGGGCGGUCGCCUCCGAAAGAGUAACGGAGGCGCCCAAAGGUACCCUCAGAAUGGAUGGAAACCAUUCGAAGAGAGCAAAGUCAGAAGGGUGCUUGACUGCGAGACCAACAAGUCGAGCAGGUACGAAAGUAGGGCUUAGUGAUCCGGCGGUAAGAGAGUGGAAUUGCCGUCGCUCAACGGAUAAAAGCUACCUCGGGGAUAACA